UCCAGCGUGGUGUAGUGGUCAGAGUGUUGGACUACGACUCCAGAGACCAGGAUUCAAUUCACAGCUUGGCC